GCGGCGGACGGGUGAGUAACACGUGGGCAACCUGCCUGCAAGACGGGGAUAACUCCGGGAAACCGGGGCUAAUACCGGAUAAUAUCUUUCUUCGCAUGAAGGAAGGUUGAAAGGCGGCGCAAGCUGCCGCUUGCAGAUGGGCCCGCGGCGCAUUAGCUAGUUGGUGAGGCAACGGCUCACCAAGGCGACGAUGCGUAGCCGACCUGAGAGGGUGAUCGGCCACACUGGGACUGAGACACGGCCCAGACUCCUACGGGAGGCAGCAGUAGGGAAUCUUCCGCAAUGGACGAAAGUCUGACGGAGCAACGCCGCGUGAGCGAAGAAGGUCUUCGGAUCGUAAAGCUCUGUUGUCAGGGAAGAACAAGUACCGUUCGAAUAGGGCGGUGCCUUGACGGUACCUGACCAGAAAGCCACGGCUAACUACGUGCCAUCAGCCGCGGUAAUAC
rnacentral:rRNA from 2 species